rnacentral:rRNA from 1 species
GAUGAACGCUGGCGGUAUGCUUAACACAUGCCAGUCGAACGGACUCUUCGGAGUUAGUGGCGGACGGGUGAGUAACGCGUGAGAAUCUGGCUUUGGGUUCGGGACAACCACUGGAAACGGUGGCUAAUACCGGAUGUGCCGAGAGGUAAAAGAGAAAUUGCCUGAAGAUGAGCUCGCGUCUGAUUAGCUAGUUGGUGAGGUAAAGGCUCACCAAGGCAGCGAUCAGUAGCUGGGCUGAGAGGAUGACCAGCCACACUGGGACUGAGACACGGCCCAGACGCCUACGGGAGGCAGCAGUGGGGAAGUUUCCGCAAUGGGCGAAAGCCUGACGGAGCAAUACCGCGUGAGGGAAGAAGGCUCUUGGGUUGUAAACCUCUUUUCUUAGGGAAGAACAAAAUGACGGUACCUAAGGAAUCAGCAUCGGCUAACUCCGUG